UACGAAGGGGACUAGCGUUGUUCGGAAUUACUGGGCGUAAAGCGCACGUAGGCGGUUUUGUAAGUCAGGGGUGAAAUCCCGGGGCUCAACCUCGGAACUGCCUUUGAUACUGCAAGUCUCGAGUCCGAUAGAGGUGGGUGGAAUUCCUAGUGUAGAGGUGAAAUUCGUAGAUAUCGGGAGGAACACCGGUGGCGAAGGCGGCGACCUGGGUCGAUACUGACGCUGAGGUGCGAAAGCGUGGGGAGCAAACAGG
rnacentral:rRNA from 1 species